CUGGCUCAGGACGAACGCUGGCGGCAUGCUUAACACAUGCAAGUCGAACGAGAAAGCUUCUUCGGAAGUGAUUAAAGUGGCGCACGGGUGAGUAACGCGUAGACAAUCUGCCCUUCAGUCUGGGACAACUUUCCGAAAGGGGAGCUAAUACCGGAUAACAAUAUUUGACAUAAGUUAAAUAUUUGAAAGCUCCGGCGCUGAUGGAUGAGUCUGCGUCCCAUUAGCUUGUUGGUGCGGUAGUGGCGCACCAAGGCUACGAUGGGUAGCGGGUUUGAGAGGACGAUCCGCCACACUGGAACUGAGACACGGUCCAGACUCCUACGGGAGGCAGCAGUGGGGAAUAUUGCACAAUGGAGGAAACUCUGAUGCAGCAAUGUCGCGUGAGUGAAGAAGGCCCUUGGGUCGUAAAGCUCUUUUAUGGGGGAAGAUAAUGACGGUACCCCAGGAAUAAGCACCGGCUAACUACGUGCCAGCAGCCGCGGUAAUACGUAGGGUGCGAGCGUUGUUCGGAAUUACUGGGCGUAAAGGGCGCGCAGGCGGAGAUGCAAGUCGGAGGUGAAAGCCCGGGGCUCAACCCCGGAGGGUCUUUCGAAACUGCAUUUCUAGAGAGGGUCAGGGGCCGGCAGAAUUCCUGGUGUAGAGGUGAAAUUCGUAGAUAUCAGGAGGAAUACCGGUGGCGAAAGCGGCCGGCUGGGGCCACUCUGACGCUGAGGCGCGAAAGCGUGGGGAGCAAACAGGAUUAGAUACCCUGGUAGUCCACGCCGUAAACGAUGAGCACUGGACGUUCGGAGGGUUCGACCCUUCUGGGUGUUUCAGCUAACGCAUUAAGUGUUCCGCCUGGGGAGUACGCACGCAAGUGUGAAACUCAAAGGAAUUGACGGGGGCCCGCACAAGCGGUGGAGUAUGUGGUUUAAUUCGAUGCAACGCGAAGAACCUUACCAGGGUUUGACAUCCUGCGAACCUCUUAGAAAUUUGAGGGUGCCUUCGGGAAUGCAGUGACAGGUGGUGCAUGGCUGUCGUCAGCUCGUGUCGUGAGAUGUUGGGUUAAGUCCCGCAACGAGCGCAACCCACGUUUUUAGUUGCCAGCAUUUAGUUGGGCACUCUAGAAAGACCGCCGGUGAUAAACCGGAGGAAGGUGUGGAUGACGUCAAGUCAUCAUGCCCCUUACACCCUGGGCUACACACGUACUACAAUGCUACGGACAAAGGGCAGCAAACUCGCGAGAGCUAGCAAAUCCCAUAAACCGUGGCUCAGUUCAGAUCGUAGGCUGCAACUCGCCUACGUGAAGUAGGAAUCGCUAGUAAUCGCAGGUCAGCAUACUGCGGUGAAUACGUUCCCGGGCCUUGUACACACCGCCCGUCACACCAUGGAAGUUGGCCACGCCCGAAGUCGUUACUUUAACCCUUGUGGAGAAGGACGCCGAAGGUGGGGCUGAUGACUGGGGUGAAGUCGUAACAAGGUAGCCGUACCGGAAGGUGCGGCUG
rnacentral:rRNA from 1 species